GGGGAUUUAGCUCAGUGGUAGAGCGCUUGCCUAGGGAGCGCAAGGCCCUGGGUUCAGUCCCCA
rfam:Rattus norvegicus chromosome 12, whole genome shotgun sequence.